GGCCAGAGACAACACAAAGGACAACACAGCAGGAGGUUCUCACUGGGAGGAAGUGCUCAUUUAUGUCCUGAGGUGCCUGCCCAUCCUCGCCCUCAUCAUCACCUUCUUCUUCAUCAAUAGUUUAGUGACCAAAGCUCAGCAACACGCACCAGCUGCUCCUGGAAAUGAACGCACUCCAGCCCUAAGGAGAGGGGAAACCCAAGAAGAAGAGGAAAGAGAUGCGAGGGAGAUAAAACCAGAGUAAAAGAGAGAGAAAAUCAACACGUGUCACCUUUAAUGAGAGGCUGAUGAUUAAGAUGUCAAAUAUAAACCGCACUGUCUCGAUCUCUUCUUGCUUUGACUUCAGCUGUGUUCUUGAAAGCAUGCCAUUAAAAAUAAUGCGAAACGGGUUACAGGAUAAGUAUCAUUUUUCUUCCAGAUUUUUGAAACAUACAUGAUUUACUGUAUAAAUACAGCACUUCAGUAACGGAAAGGGACAAUUCAUGAUUUGGUCUGAAGGUGGACCCAUAAACUUAAAUUAGAGCCUCUCUGUGAAGGGUCUUCUCACACUUUGAGGACCCCUAGUGGUGGCACUAAAAAUAUACACUAUAACACAACAAUUCAUGCCUGUACUCUUACAUGGAUCUGACCCUUGGACACAGAUGAAUGGUACGACCCAUUUAAUUAAAGACAGCACCAGUUCCCAACGGAUUUGUCUCAGUUUUCUGCAAACAACAACUCACACGCUCAGAGUGAUGUGAAAGAUAGCAUGUAGUCACUUAACAGCUGUAAACAUGAGGGUUUUAACCAAAGUAAAACUACAAAAUACCACCCAGUACACUUUUUGAAUGCUCCAAUGCUGGUAUUUAACUUACUAUACAGACACUAAAAUAUAUCAGGUGAACUAG